AAACGGCCCCAAAAGCCCUUGCAAACGGAGCCUUAGUAGGUAGGCCUAGUGUGGAGUAGCCUCUCUUUUGGUAAUGUAAUGACAUUGACGGUAGUCUACAUCCAUGGUUGAUGGUUGGUGGCAAUGGUGUUGCCGAAUCACAGUGAGCUAUCCCCACGCCACGCCUUUUAGGGUAUCUGGAUCACCAUUUCGCCACCACUCUCCAGAACAAUCAAAGUUCAUCAUCAUCAUCGGCAUUUUCAUUUUCAUUGUCAUUAUCAUACAAAUACAAUACAGCUUGCGAUCUCGAGGCGAAUUUGAGCAGAGAGUGUGCUGAAUUAGCCGCUCAUCCCCAACACCUACACCAAAACCUAGCCAAGCUCAUAAUCUCAUGGAUUUCUCGAUCAAUUGCAGCUAAAUCCACUCUCCACAAGCUCAAUCUAACAACAAUGUCCCCAUAUGAGAUUCAGAAGAUGAUGAGCGAGGAUUUGCCUCAGCUUGCAAUGGAAUUGAGCCGAGUUGAAAAUAUUCGCAGAUAUGCUAGCAAAUCUUUACUAACCCAUCUAAGAUUUCAGAUACCACUCAACAGUUAGAAGCAAUGGUUGGAGAUAUUGAAGAUGCAGUUUUCUCUGUUGUGAAUCAAAAAAGGGGAAAUAUACUCGCUUCAAAUUGAUCAACUCCGUCAGUUUCAACAGUAAUGACAUUAUUCGGUAUUAUUUUUUCUUUAUUAAGAAUACAUAUUGCAUAGUUAGAUCAAAGAUGGGACUGCACAGAAAAUUUUAGUGUAGUCAUUGAAUGCAGGACCCAGGAUCGAGGCAAGAAAAGUUCUUUCAAGCUGUAAGAUCUAUGAAUUGAAUUGAGGAUUUGUUGGUCAGUCCUGUGAAGUUCCGACCUCAGUGGUUCCAUCUUAUGAAAUCUCUGAAUUCUAGAGUAGACAAAACAUUGAAUUUGCUCCAGCAACAAGUUCUUGCAGAUCACCGAGCUCUUCUUUCAUCUCUACGGUGGCCACCAAAAGUUUUUAUGUCAAAAAUAGAAAGUGGCAAGAUCUCUAUCCUUCCAAAUCCAUUAGUUUUGAUGCAAGUAGACAAACAGAAGGCCUAUUCUGAGAGUUUUCUAGAACUUUGUGCUUUGCAGCAUUUGCAGACACGGAGGGAAGAGCGACAGCUUGGCCUUUGGGAAAAAAGAAGCUGAAUACAGGGCUUUGGGCCAUUGAUGAACUGGUUUCUCCUAUUGCGUCACGGUCAGAAUAUCACUUCUCGAAAUGGGUUGAUCAGCCUGAGUUUAUCUUCGCUCUUGUGUCCAAGAUUGCCAAAAAUUUUGUUGGCGGAGUGGAUGAUGUUUCGCAGCCUCUCAUUGAUAGAGCAAAACUGGUGAGCUUGAGUGGUAAAGAAGCUUGGAUAUCCGUAAUGGUCCAAACACUUUCUUCAUUUUUAGCAAAGUGAGUUCUCUCUGUUCUCGUCAAAAGAUACAAAGAGAAAAAGGAAAAAUCGGAGAUGAUUUCUUCAUGGCUUCAUUUAAUCGACCUUAUGGUUAAUUUUGACAGACAGAUGAUGUCAUUUGUAAAUUCAGAAGCUUAUCUCUUCAUGGAGGACUCUGAAAUGCUUGAAGGAUCGUCAAGAGGCUUAUCUGUGUUCUCAUUAUUUUCUGAUAGGCCUGAUUGGCUCAAAAUUUGGGCCAAAAUAGAGCUCAAGGUUGGGAGAAUGAAACUAAAAGAAGAAUCGAAGCAUGAGAGGGCGUGGUUGGUUGACACGAAAAACGAAAUUGGAUCUGCUGUUGACACGACAACUGAGCGGUUUCUUCUUUAUAGUAGGGAGAAUCUAUGCUAACUUGCUUGGGAAAUGAUCGAGCGUUGCAAAACUUUACCAGGCAUUUUGGCAAGGACCCAAUUCAUCAGAUCAACUGCAGCUAAACUUGUCUUGUACCUUUUAAAAUUACCGCUUUUGCAGUACAAGGAAAUUGAAUACCUCUCUACUUACUGCAAUGAUGACUCCUUGCUGAAACUAUGUGCGGUGAUCAAUGCUGCUUGAUACUGUGAAUCUAAACUACAAGAAUGGAGCGACGAUGUUGAUUUUCUGUAGAUGAAAAUUGCUGAAAUUGAUAAAAAUCAUCUCUGUAAAGGAUGAUAUGAAUGCUAAUUCUCACUUCUUUGGGGAAGAAAUAAAGAGUUUGGCUGAUCUGGAGACAAAGUUGCUAAUGGAAAUAAUUGGUGAUCGUCUUCGUCAAUUUGAGCCUCUUACCAAGGAGUAUGUCCAGAGCAAGGAAUGCUUCAAGCAAGAGGAGGAUGAUGAUGGUCUACAUAGAGCCUCAGAAGUCACAGAUUUUUCUGUAUCCGUUGACAUUCUUGAAGCGUUGGAUACUUUGAGAAGUGCGCUUUGUAUAAUUAAUGCCAGUCUCAAUCCAAAGGACUUUCGGAUUUGUGGAGAAGCGUCACAGAUGGGCUUGACCGAUUCAUUUUUGGCAGCAUAUUCACUAGUGAUUAUAGAUUCUCUGAGAAGGGCACCAGUCAGUUUGGAGCUGUUAUGCGAGCAUUGUUCGUUGUUUUUCUGCCAUUUAGUACUAAGCCUGAAGCAUUCUUUCCUUUGGUUAGAAAUUCUCUGAAAUUGUUAGAAAUGGAUAGGCGAGAUUUAGGGCGUUUGAAUUUUUGUGGUGUUAUGCACUUGUCAUUUGAUCAAGCUGACAAGAUUUUGAGGAAUAGAAAAUUUUGAAUUGCAUCUAGAGAGUUGAGAAAUGAGAAUUGAUUAUAUGUCUUUGAACUUUCAUUUCAUUUGUGUCAAAUGAAUGAUAUAUAGGCAUUUCACUUUUGGCAACAA